AGACGCUGUCAAGUGCUUUGCCAUACACUGCCUAAUUCAACAAUGAGAACAAUCCUAUUUUGCAGAUGGGGAAAUUGAGACAUAGAGGGGUUAGAGGAAUCUUUCAGUCACCAAGCUUCCCACAGCCCUUGGCCUGAGUGGAUCCCAGCUUGGACUCUACAUCACAGCAGACAAUUGUCAGCAGACAAUGAGGAAACAUCUCUUUGGAUGCGAGCUACAAGUCAAGGAAUGCCAAGGGAUGACAGCAACCACCCGAAACAAGAAGAGGCAGGGAAGAAUCCUUCCUAGAACCAUUAAGAGAACAUGGCCCUGGCAACAUCCUGAUUUUGGUCGGACUCCUGGCUUCUGGAACUGUGCGAAAAUAAUUUUCUGUUGUUUUAAGCUACCCAGUUUAUGGUUAUUUGUUACGACAGCUCUAGGAAACUAAUACAGCAGUCCUCCAAAGCAGCCUAUGAAAAGAUGUUAAUUUUAAGAAAACAGAUUCUGGUAGA